rnacentral:tRNA from 1 species
UGCUCCAUAGCGUAAUGGUAGCGCGGGUGACUGUUAAUCACUAGGUUACUGGUUCGAGUCCAGUUGGAGCAG